rnacentral:rRNA from 1 species
UAGCAUAUCAAUAAGCGGAGGAAAAGAAACCAACAGGGAUUGCCCUAGUAACGGCGAGUGAAGCGGCAACAGCUCAAAUUUGAAAUCUGGCUCUUUCAGAGUCCGAGUUGUAAUUUGCAGAGGGCGCUUUGGCGUUGGCAGCGGUCCAAGUUCUUUGGAACAGGACGUCACAGAGGGUGAGAAUCCCGUACGUGGUCGCUAUCCUUCGCCGUGUAAAGCCCCUUCGACGAGUCGAGUUGUUUGGGAAUGCAGCUCUAAAUGGGAGGUAAAUUUCUUCUAAAGCUAAAUACUGGCCAGAGACCGAUAGCGCACAAGUAGAGUGAUCGAAAGAUGAAAAGCACUUUGGAAAGAGAGUCAAACAGCACGUGAAAUUGUUGAAAGGGAAGCGCUUGCAGCCAGACUUGCCUGUAGUUGCUUAUCCGGACUUUUGUCCGGUGCACUCUUCUAUAGGCAGGCCAGCAUCAGUUUGGGCGGUUAGAUAAAGGUCUCUGUCAUGUACCUCUCUUCGGAGAGGCCUUAUAGGGGAGACGACAUGUAACCAGCCUGGACUGAGGUCCGCGCAUCUGCUAGGAUGCUGGCGUAAUGGCUGUAAGCGGCCCGUCUUGAAACACGGACCAAGGAGUCUAACAUCUAUGCGAGUGUUUGGGUGUCAAGCCCAGACGCGUAAUGAAAGUGAACGGAGGUAAGAACCCUUUGGGUGCAUUAUCGACCGAUCCUGAUGUCUUCGGAAGGAUUUGAGUAAGAGCAUGGCUGUUGGGACCCGAAAGAUGGUGAACUAUGCUUGAAUAGGGUGAAGCCAGAGGAAACUCUGGUGGAGGCUCGCAGCGGUUCUGACGUGCAAAUCGAUCGUCAAA